GCCGGCAUAGCUCAGUUGGUAGAGCAACCGCCUUGUAAGCGGUAGGUCCCCAGUUCGAGUCCGGGUGUCGGCACCA
rnacentral:tRNA from 2 species